GAUGAAUGCUGGCGGCGUGCCGAACACAUGCAAGUCGAGCGGCAGCGCGAGUAGUUUACUACUUGGCGGCGAGCGGCGGACGGCUGAGUAACGCGUGGGAACGUGCCCCAAAGUGAGGGAUAACGCACCGAAAGGUGUGCUAAUACCGCAUAUGAUCUUCGGAUUAAAGAAUUUAUUCGCUUUGGGAGCGGCCCGCGUCGGAUUAGGUAGUUGGUAGGGUAAUGGCCUACCAGGCCGACGAUCCGUAGCUGGUCUGAGAGGAUGACCAGCCAGACUGGAACUGAGACACGGUCCAGACUCCUACGGGAGGCAGCAGUGAGGAAUCUUCCACAAUGGGCGAAAGCCUGAUGGAGCAACGCCGCGUGCAGGAUGAAGGCCUUCGGGUUGUAAACUGCUUUUAUAAGUGAAGAAUAUGACGGUAACUUAUGAAUAAGCACCGGCUAACUACGUGCCGGCCGCCGCAGUAA
rnacentral:rRNA from 1 species